GAUGAACGCUAGCUACAGGCUUAACACAUGCAAGUCGAGGGACCGGCGCACGGGUGAUUAACACGUAUCCAACCUGCCCUUUACUCGGGGAUAGCCUUUCGAAAGCAAGAUUAAUACCCGAUCUAAAGGAUGGGGAUGCGUUGCAUUAGGUUGUUGGUGAGGUAACGGCCCACCAAGCCUUCGAUGGAUAGGGGUUCGGAGAGGAAGGCCCCCUAGAUUGGAACUGCGGCCCGGUCCAAACUGCUAGGGGGGGCAGGAGUGAGGUAUAUUGGUGAAUGGGCGUUAGCCUGAACCAGCCAAGUAGGGGGAAGGAUGAAGGGGUAUGAGAGGUAAACCUCUUGUAUAGAAGAAUAUGUAUUAGAUGAAGAAGGAUCGGCUAACUCCGUGCCAGCAGCCGCGGUAAUUC
rnacentral:rRNA from 1 species